rnacentral:lncRNA from 1 species
GAGGGCACUUACUGGAGGGCUUGUGAAACAAAACCUUGUCUAGAAGCCUUAUACAUGGAAGGACUACAAGACUACCAACUUUCAGCUCAAGGGGAUGAGUUUAGCUAGUAGUUGUAGUUCAAGGCUACAAUUGUGCCAGAAAUCAAUUUUUAGAUAUGCUGCUCAUUUUUCCUACAUGAGCAUGCCAUAUCUUGGUUUGAAAUAAUGCAUUAGCAUGCUAGGGGAUCUCUGGAAAGAGGUGGGGGCUUUAUCUUAAGCAGAAGUAUAGCAAGAGGGGAAAACAGUGCUACCAAUGUAAAAAUGAGGGGUAGAUAUAUGGAUUCACCCUCCAAUAAUUAUCCAAAGGCCAUGACAAGGUUACUAUAGGUAAAAGGGGACUAGGUAAAGCUGUGGUAAAAAUUUAAGAUCAAGGAGGUUAGUGGAAGGUGCCAAAGUAUCAACUUUGGUAAUUGCACACAAGGUGUUUGAUUGAUGUUAGGGCUACCAUAUGGAUUCUAAUUGAUAUGAAACUCAACAAGAUCACAUAAUAGAUGAAAAUAAUCUUGGACACCAAAUUUGGGAUUUGGUGGAGAAAGUUUCCAAUGUAGACUUGAAAACACCAUUAAAUGGGCAGAAAUGGCUUUCUGCAUAUGAAACCAUGCAAAUCAAUUCCCACAAAUCCACAACUUGGUGUGUGUGUAUUAUUUGAGCAUUAAAGCAUGCCCAAAAUUUUUUGGUAUCAAUUGGAGAAAUUGCAUAAUGUAAAGUUUCCCAAAGUUAGAAAUCAACAUAGAAGGUUUUGAGGGGUUUGGGACAAGUUCUUCUAUUCUCCUCGAUGCACCACUUGAUGUGGAUGCAUUAUUCGAGUACGAGAACAUGUCCACCAAAUUUGAGCACAAUUGGAGACACUUGGCAAUGUAGAAUUGCUCAACUUUGGAUCUAGAC